rnacentral:tRNA from 2 species
GCCUGACUGGCUCAGUCAGUAGAGCAUGUAACUCCUGAUCUCAGGGUCAUGAGUUCAAGCCCCAUGUUGGGCA